rnacentral:rRNA from 1 species
GUUGUAUGGUUAAGUGACUAAGCGUACACGGUGGAUGCCUUGGCAGUCAGAGGCGAUGAAAGACGUAGUAACUUGCGAUAAGCCCAGAUUAGGUAGUAACAACCAUUUGAGUCUGGGAUUUCUGAAUGGGGAAACCCACGUGCAUAAGCACGUAUCCUUACCUGAAUACAUAGGGUAAGGAGGCGAACCGGGGGAACUGAAACAUCUAAGUACCCCGAGGAAAAGAAAUCAACCGAGAUUCCGAAAGUAGCGGCGAGCGAAAUUGGACUAGCCCUUAAGCUUUACACGCGUUAGACGAACGGUCUGGAAAGUCCGACGAUACAGGGUGAUAGUCCCGUAGUUGACGACGUGUGUUCAGUGAAAUCGAGUAGGGCGGGACACGUGAUAUCCUGUCUGAAUAUGGGGGGACCAUCCUCCAAGGCUAAAUACUACUGACUGACCGAUAGUGAACCAGUACCGUGAGGGAAAGGCGAAAAGAACCCCUGUGAGGGGAGUGAAAUAGAACCUGAAACCGUGUACGUACAAGCAGUAGGAGCAGGCUUUGUCCUGUGACUGCGUACCUUUUGUAUAAUGGGUCAGCGACUUAUAUUCAGUGGCAAGGUUAACCAUCUAGGGGAGCCGUAGGGAAACCGAGUCUUAACUGGGCGUUCAGUCUCUGGAUAUAGACCCGAAACCAGGUGAUCUAGCCAUGGGCAGGUUGAAGGUUGAGUAACAUCAACUGGAGGACCGAACCGACUAAUGUUGAAAAAUUAGCGGAUGACUUGUGGCUAGGGGUGAAAGGCCAAUCAAACCUGGAGAUAGCUGGUUCUCCCCGAAAGCUAUUUAGGUAGCGCCUCGGACGAAUACUACUGGGGGUAGAGCACUGUUAAGGCUAGGGGGUCAUCCCGACUUACCAACCCUUUGCAAACUCCGAAUACCAGUAAGUACUAUCCGGGAGACACACGGCGGGUGCUAACGUCCGUCGUGGAGAGGGAAACAACCCAGACCGCCAGCUAAGGUCCCAAAUUACUGCUAAGUGGGAAACGAUGUGGGAAGGCUCAGACAGCCAGGAUGUUGGCUUAGAAGCAGCCAUCAUUUAAAGAAAGCGUAAUAGCUCACUGGUCGAGUCGGCCUGCGCGGAAGAUGUAACGGGGCUAAGUAGUAAACCGAAGCUGCGGCAAUAUACUUUUGUAUAUUGGGUAGGGGAGCGUUCUGUAAGCGGUUGAAGGUGUGUGGUAACGCAUGCUGGACGUAUCAGAAGUGCGAAUGCUGACAUGAGUAACGAUAAAGGGGGUGAAAAACCUCCUCGCCGGAAGACCAAGGGUUCCUGUCCAACGUUAAUCGGGGCAGGGUAAGUCGACCCCUAAGGCGAGGCCGAAAGGCGUAGUCGAUGGGAAACGGGUUAAUAUUCCCGUACUUCUUACAAUUGCGAUGGGGGGACGGAGAAGGCUAGGUGGGCCUGGCGACGGUUGUCCAGGUUCAAGUGCGUAGGCUUAAGAGUUAGGUAAAUCCGGCUCUUUCUAAGGCUGAGACACGACGUCGAGCACCUACGGGUGUGAAGUCAUUGAUGCCAUGCUUCCAGGAAAAGCCUCUAAGCUUCAGAUUGUAAGGAAUCGUACCCCAAACCGACACAGGUGGUCGGGUAGAGAAUACCAAGGCGCUUGAGAGAACUCGGGUGAAGGAACUAGGCAAAAUGGUACCGUAACUUCGGGAGAAGGUACGCUCUCGACGGUGAAGUCCCUCGCGGAUGGAGCUAUUGAGAGUCGCAGAUACCAGGUGGCUGCAACUGUUUAUUAAAAACACAGCACUGUGCAAAAUCGUAAGAUGACGUAUACGGUGUGACGCCUGCCCGGUGCCGGAAGGUUAAUUGAUGGGGUUAGACUUCGGUCGAAGCUCUUGAUCGAAGCCCCGGUAAACGGCGGCCGUAACUAUAACGGUCCUAAGGUAGCGAAAUUCCUUGUCGGGUAAGUUCCGACCUGCACGAAUGGCGUAAUGAUGGCCACGCUGUCUCCACCCGAGACUCAGUGAAAUUGAAAUCGCUGUGAAGAUGCAGUGUACCCGCGGCUAGACGGAAAGACCCCGUGAACCUUUACUACAGCUUGGCACUGAACAUUGACCCUACAUGUGUAGGAUAGGUGGGAGGCUUUGAAGCACGUACGCCAGUAUUUGUGGAGCCGUCCUUGAAAUACCACCCUUGUAGUGUUGAUGUUCUAACGUCGACCCCUUAUCGGGGUUGCGGACAGUGCCUGGUGGGUAGUUUGACUGGGGCGGUCUCCUCCCAAAGAGUAACGGAGGAGCACGAAGGUGGGCUAAUCACGGUUGGACAUCGUGAGGUUAGUGCAAUGGCAUAAGCCCGCUUGACUGCGAGAAUGACAAUUCGAGCAGGUGCGAAAGCAGGUCAUAGUGAUCCGGUGGUUCUGAAUGGAAGGGCCAUCGCUCAACGGAUAAAAGGUACUCCGGGGAUAACAGGCUGAUACCGCCCAAGAGUUCAUAUCGACGGCGGUGUUUGGCACCUCGAUGUCGGCUCAUCACAUCCUGGGGCUGAAGUCGGUCCCAAGGGUAUGGCUGUUCGCCAUUUAAAGUGGUACGCGAGCUGGGUUUAGAACGUCGUGAGACAGUUCGGUCCCUAUCUGCCGUGGGCGUUGGAAGAUUGAAGGGGGCUGCUCCUAGUACGAGAGGACCGGAGUGGACGAACCUCUGGUGUUCGGGUUGUGUCGCCAGACGCAUUGCCCGGUAGCUAAGUUCGGAAUCGAUAACCGCUGAAAGCAUCUAAGCGGGAAGCGAGCCCUGAGAUGAGUCUUCCCUGAUACUUUAAGUAUCCUAAAGGGUUGUCGGAGACUACGACGUUGAUAGGUCAGGUGUGUAAGUGCUGUGAGGCAUUGAGCUAACUGAUACUAAUUGCCCGUGAGGCUUAACCAUACAACACCCAAGGGGUUU